UGGAAGCAUUUGGCGUACAUCUAAA
rnacentral:miRNA from 15 species